rnacentral:rRNA from 1 species
UACGUAGGGUGCAGGCGUUACUCGGAAUUACUGGGCGUAAAGCGUGCGCAGGCGGUUUCUUAAGUCAGAUGUGAAAGCCCCGGGCUUAACCUGGGAACUGCGUUUGAAACUGGGAGACUUGAGUGUGGCAGAGGGGGGUGGAAUUCCACGUGUAGCAGUGAAAUGCGUAGAUAUGUGGAGGAACACCGAUGGCGAAGGCAGCCCCCUGGGUUAACACUGACGCUCAUGCACGAAAGUGUGGGGAGCAAACAGG